rnacentral:lncRNA from 1 species
GGAACAGAGAGGGCGGUCAGAGCGCGGCUGCACUGGAGGAGACCCGGGGCGGGUGCACAGCAGGUCCAGGCGCUGCAAGGUGUGGAAGUGGGAGCAGUGCUGGGCCCUCGGCGGCCCGAGCCCCUGCCGGGCCCCCCGGGUCUCCCAGUAGCGCUGAGGCCUCCUCUAGGUCUCCUUCAGCUGGUACUUUUCACAGGUCCUGGGAGUCGGCGCCGAGGGCUCCCGGGGCCGCAGACGGAAGGCGCCUUCUCCCUUCCUGAAGGAGAGAAGGCGGCGGGGAUGCCGGGCCGGGCAGGGGGCGCCCCGAGGUCCCCCCACUCCCCGCCAGGCUCACCUCUCACUGGUGCAGCAGUCGCACAGCUCUGCGCUGCCCGUAGAAGCAGGUGACCUCGUCCCGGGCUCCAUGUCCCGCAGCACCUCCGUGUGCAGGCACAAACUGGGGGCCCUGCUCCUCAGCUCCAGGACCCCUCCUCCUGCCCUCCCCCCGCCGGGUGCGCGCCCGCCCGCUCCUCUGGCCUCCCUUGCAGUCUGGGGCCAGGCGGGAGAGGGAAGAGAAGGGUCUGGCGGAGCCCGCCGGCGGCUCACAUGAUCCACAUGGAAUUAAUGUUACCCUCACCAAUGGCGGCGGGCCCGUAAUGUCCACACAGGCACUGCCGGGAAGCUCAUCUCUACACACCGGAAGAUCUUUUUCCAUAACGCGCUUCCUGAUUAGAAUUCCAAAGAGCCUUUUGGCUGGCAUCUCAUCCCUUGCUGAGAGUGACAGCAGGACCAUCUGUCUUCUGAUUCUGCUCCUUUUCCUUCCCAGGGCAUUUCGCCCAACCCUCCUUACGGGGAGCACCAAGCACUGUGGUCACGGGAGGAGAGACGGUGACCCUCCUGUGCCAGGCGUCACCCACCAUAAUAAUCAACAAUUCACGGUCUCUCUGCUGAGGCCUGGAGUGUCAGGACCUGAAGAGCAACAAAGACCACAGUGGACAUUUCUCCAAACCCUCCUUAUGUGGAGCACCAAGUACUGUGGUCUCUGCAGGAGACUCAGUGACCCUCCUGUGCCAGGCGUCACCCACCUAUCAUAACCCCAAAUUCACGUUCUCUCUGCUGAAGGCUGGGGUGCCCCAUCCCGUACAGCGCCAGAGCCCAGAAGGGCGUGAGGCCAACUUCACUCUCCCGUCUGUGAAGGCUGAGGAUGCUGGGAGCUACAGCUGCAUUGACUCACUGGAAGGGAGAGCAUCAUCUCCCAGUGACGCCCUGCACUUGGAGGUGACAGGUGCGAGGAGAGCCCUCGAGAUACCUCCACCUCCCUUUCCCCCGUAUGUGGGGCUGGUGGGGGGGCAUGGAUGAAAAAUAGCCUCAUCGGGCAUUUGUGUGGCACCUUCUAUGAACCAGGCACCGAGCUAAUAGCUGUACAAAUAUGGCCUCAUUUUAUCCUCCCCAAAACCCUGGGAGGGAGGUGCUGGGAUUGUUAUUGUUGCCUUCUGUCUUAGAAUCAGCAUUAAAUAUCAGUUCUAGGGCAGACCUGGAAGGGCUGGGCAAUCAGGAUUAAGUAAUUAGCCCAGAGUCACACAGCCAGGAAGUGACUGAGAGCAGAUUUGAACUCAGGACCUCCCAUCUCCAGGCCUGGCUCUCCAUCCACAUAGAUACCCAGCUGCCCCUGGGUGCUGUUUUUAUUAGGACUGGGAGAUCUGAGGUAAAUAGAGAUUAAAUAACUUGCCUGAAAUCACUCAGCUAGUGAGAGAUAGAGGCUGGAUUUGAACCCAGACCUCUCUGACCCCAGGCCCUGCUCUCUGUACAUGGAGCCACCUUAGCUGCCCUGAUUGAUGGGGGUGAGAGUGAAGGGCUUUAGCCUCAGAAACCCACCUCUGUCCUCCAUGACCUACAAGUCUUUCUCCCUGGUUUUCAGGUGGAAAGGACUCACAUCCCCCCAAGCCAGAGUCCCAAGACAGGCUGAACACUCACCGGGAGGCCAGGAUGGAGGCCCUCUGGGGUCCCUCCCACUCAGCUCCUGGCCCGGACACCAGGCUGGGGAGAUAGUCCUUAGCUCAACAUUACACCUUGGGCAACAUCGUCCGCAUAGCUCUGGCAGGGUUCGUCCUCAUCAUCCUGAGCGUCUUCCUGGCCGAGGCCUGGCACAGCCAAUGGGGGUCCUGAGAAGCAGCCCCAGGACCUCCCUGCCCAGGACAUGGGCCUGCCAGGAAAGCAGAGUCGGGGUCCGAGGAUUGGGUUGUUUGUUGUGGGGAGAGAUGGCGGGGGUGGGGGCCCCAGGGGAGCUGUGAAGGGUUUAUCCAAGCCAGUUUGUUGUCAUUCCUCACCUGAGGUUAGCAUCAAAGCAUUGCCUGAUGAUCUGUCUGUUGCUGGAUCUCCUCACUGUGAUAAGAGCCUCUAAAUACCUUCAGAGGUUGCUCUAGGGCUAAGUAGCUUAUCCUUGUUCAUUCACAUUUUCUCAGCCAUUGUGGCCAGUCCUGUGUUCCGGUCACAGCCAUAUGGAGCAAUAAUGGAGGCUCUUGUUAUGGGGUUGUAAUGUAAUGGGGUUGCACAAGUUGUCCUGGGAAAAUGUUGGUAUCUAACCAGAUCUUUAGUGUAACACUGAAAUAGUGGUUUAAAAAAGGAGGAGCAACUGAGUAGCUCAGUGGAUUGAGAGCCAAAUCUAGAGACGGAGGCCCUCAAUUCAAAUCUGGCCUCAGAUACUUCCCAGCUGUGUGACCCUAGGCAAGUCACUAAACCCCCAUUGCCUAGCCCUGACCAUUCUUCUGCCUUGUAACCAAUACACAGUAUUAAUUCCAAGACAGAAGGAGAGGGCUUAAAAAAAACUGAAGUGGUGUGGAAAUAUGUUUUUCCCUAAUAGCAGCACCAAUAGGUGGUUAGAUAAAGAAUGAGUGACCCCAAAAUGUGGGGAAAUUCGUUAAUAUGUAUAACAAUUCCCCCCCUGAGAU